rnacentral:rRNA from 1 species
GAAGGUGGCCUGUGAGGGUUGCUGGAGGUAUCAGAAGUGCGAAUGCUGACAUAAGUAACGAUAAAGCGGGUGAAAAGCCCGCUCGCCGGAAGACCAAGGGUUCCUGUCCAACGUUAAUCGGGGCAGGGUGAGUCGACCCCUAAGGCGAGGCCGAAAGGCGUAGUCGAUGGGAAACGGGUUAAUAUUCCCGUACUUGGUGUUACUGCGAAGGGGGGACGGAGAAGGCUAUGUUGGCCGGGCGACGGUUGUCCCGGUUUAAGCGUGUAGGUGUGUGUUCCAGGUAAAUCCGGUUCACUUUAACACUGAGGCGUGAUGACGAGGCACUACGGUGCUGAAGCAACAAAUGCCCUGCUUCCAGGAAAAGCCUCUAAGCAUCAGGUAACAUCAAAUCGUACCCCAAACCGACACAGGUGGUCAGGUAGAGAAUACCAAGGCGCUUGAGAGAACUCGGGUGAAGGAACUAGGCAAAAUGGUGCCGUAACUUCGGGAGAAGGCACGCUGACAUGUAGGUGAAGUGAUUUACUCAUGGAGCUGAAGUCAGUCGAAGAUACCAGCUGGCUGCAACUGUUUAUUAAAAACACAGCACUGUGCAAACACGAAAGUGGACGUAUACGGUGUGACGCCUGCCCGGUGCCGGAAGGUUAAUUGAUGGGGUCAGCGCAAGCGAAGCUCCUGAUCGAAGCCCCGGUAAACGGCGGCCGUAACUAUAACGGUCCUAAGGUAGCGAAAUUCCUUGUCGGGUAAGUUCCGACCUGCACGAAUGGCGUAAUGAUGGCCAGGCUGUCUCCACCCGAGACUCAGUGAAAUUGAACUCGCUGUGAAGAUGCAGUGUACCCGCGGCAAGACGGAAAGACCCCGUGAACCUUUACUAUAGCUUGACACUGAACAUUGAGCCUUGAUGUGUAGGAUAGGUGGGAGGCUUUGAAGCGUGGACGCCAGUCUGCAUGGAGCCGACCUUGAAAUACCACCCUUUAAUGUUUGAUGUUCUAACGUGGACCCGUGAUCCGGGUUGCGGACAGUGUCUGGUGGGUAGUUUGACUGGGGCGGUCUCCUCCUAAAGAGUAACGGAGGAGCACGAAGGUUGGCUAAUCCUGGUCGGACAUCAGGAGGUUAGUGCAAUGGCAUAAGCCAGCUUGACUGCGAGCGUGACGGCGCGAGCAGGUGCGAAAGCAGGUCAUAGUGAUCCGGUGGUUCUGAAUGGAAGGGCCAUCGCUCAACGGAUAAAAGGUACUCCGGGGAUAACAGGCUGAUACCGCCCAAGAGUUCAUAUCGACGGCGGUGUUUGGCACCUCGAUGUCGGCUCAUCACAUCCUGGGGCUGAAGUAGGUCCCAAGGGUAUGGCUGUUCGCCAUUUAAAGUGGUACGCGAGCUGGGUUUAGAACGUCGUGAGACAGUUCGGUCCCUAUCUGCCGUGGGCGCUGGAGAACUGAGGGGGGCUGCUCCUAGUACGAGAGGACCGGAGUGGACGCAUCACUGGUGUUCGGGUUGUCAUGCCAAUGGCACUGCCCGGUAGCUAAAUGCGGAAGAGAUAAGUGCUGAAAGCAUCUAAGCACGAAACUUGCCCCGAGAUGAGUUCUCCCUGAGACUUAAAGUCUCCUGAAGGAACGUUGAAGACGACGACGUUGAUAGGCCGGGUGUGUAAGCGCAGCGAUGCGUUGAGCUAACCGGUACUAAUGAACCGUGAGGCUUAACCUUACAACGCCGAAG